AUUGCUUCUUGACCCUUUGGCUCAGGUCACCUGUAGUACCUGUUCUUAUCAGUUUAAUAUCUGAUAUAUCUUCUAUCCUACAAGAAAGUCCAGGAGGAGGGUGACUAUGGUCAGGUCUAUCACUAGAGGUCCACUGUGGCUUAAGUCAUGGUUGGUUCUUUGCAGAUUCCUUUCUCAGCAACGAAGCUUUGCCUUG